AUCGAUGGGUAGGGGUUCUGAGAGGAAGGUCCCCCACAUUGGAACUGAGACACGGUCCAAACUCCUACGGGAGGCAGCAGUGAGGAAUAUUGGUCAAUGGGCGGAAGCCUGAACCAGCCAAGUAGCGUGCAGGAAGACGGCCCUCCGGGUUGUAAACUGCUUUUAGUUGGGAAUAAAACGGGGCUCGUGAGCCCCCUUGCAUGUACCAUCAGAAAAAGGACCGGCUAAUUCCGUGCCAGCAGCCGCGGUAAUACGGAAGGUCCGGGCGUUAUCCGGAUUUAUUGGGUUUAAAGGGAGCGCAGGCGGACCUUUAAGUCAGCUGUGAAAUACGGCGGCUAAUGCGAACUGCAGUUGAUACUGGAGGUCUUGAGUGCACACAGGGAUGGUGGAAUUCAUGGUGUAGCGGUGAAAUGCUCAGAUAUCAUGAAGAACUCCGAUCGCGAAGGCAGGCAUCCGGGGUGCAACUGACGCUGAGGCUCGAAAGUGCGGGUAUCAAACAGGAUUAGAUACCCUGGUAGUCCGCACAGUAAACGAUGAAUACUCGCGGUUUGCGAUACAAUGUAAGCCGCCAAGCGAAAGCGUUAAGUAUUCCACCUGGGGAGUACGCCGGCAACGGUGAAACUCAAAGGAAUUGACGGGGGCCCGCACAAGCGGAGGAACAUGUGGUUUAAUUCGAUGAUACGCGAGGAACCUUACCCGGGCUUGAACUGCCAGCGACGGAUGCAGAGACGCAUCUUUCUUCGGACGCUGGCGGAGGUGCUGCAUGGUUGUCGUCAGCUCGUGCCGUGAGGUGUCGGCUUAAGUGCCAUAACGAGCGCAACCCUCAUCCUCGUUUGCCAUCAGGUGAUGCUGGGCACUCCGGGGGCACUGCCAUCGUAAGAUGUGAGGAAGGUGGGGAUGACGUCAAAUCAGCACGGCCCUUACGUCCGGGGCUACACACGUGUUACAAUGGGCGGUACAGAGGGCAGCCACUGCGCGAGCAGGAGCCAAUCCUCAAAGCCGUUCUCAGUUCGGACUGGAGUCUGCAACCCGACUCCACGAAGCUGGAUUCGCUAGUAAUCGCGCAUCAGCCAUGGCGCGGUGAAUACGUUCCCGGGCCUUGUACACACCGCCCGUCAAGCCAUGAAAGCCGGGAGCACUUGAAG
rnacentral:rRNA from 1 species